CACGGAGGCCCCGAGCGUUGUUCGGAUUUACUGGGCGUAAAGCGUGCGUAGGCGGUUGGGUAAGUCAGAUGUGAAAGCCCGGGGCUCAACCCCGGAACUGCAUCCGAUACUGCCUGACUCGAGGGUUGGAGAGGAGACUGGAAUUCACGGUGUAGCAGUGAAAUGCGUGGAUAUCGUGAGGAAGACCAAUGGCGAAGGCAGGUCUCUGGACAACAUCUGACGCUGAUGCACGAAGGCCGGGGGAGCAAAAAGG
rnacentral:rRNA from 1 species